CCAAGGUUUGUCCAUACUUUAUUGAACCGGACAGUAUGGGGCAUACCGUACCAUACUGGUUCAAUACUAGUAUGCAGUAUGGGGAGCGUACCGACACUCGUUAUGCCAAACCAGCCUCAUACCAAUACAGCAAUAGGUUGGCACUAGUGCAGGCCCAGUACCAAGACAGCAAACCUUGCUGUGGUCUCUUAUUAGUCUGAAAAAUCUCCUAGAAGAAUGGCAAAAAUCUGUUGCCCAACACAAAUG
rnacentral:lncRNA from 1 species